rnacentral:rRNA from 1 species
UACGAAGGGGGCUAGCGUUGCUCGGAAUCACUGGGCGUAAAGGGUGCGUAGGCGGGUCUUAAGUCAGGGGUGAAAUCCUGGAGCUCAACUCCAGAACUGCCUUUGAUACUGAGGAUCUUGAGUUCGGGAGAGGUGAGUGGAACUGCGAGUGUAGAGGUGAAAUUCGUAGAUAUUCGCAAGAACACCAGUGGCGAGGGCGGCUCACUGGCCCGAUACUGACGCUGAGGCACGAAAGCGUGGGGAGCAAACAGGG